AUGAAACUUCAUUCGGAAGGUUUUCCAGCACAGAAGCCACCUCUCAUAAUCAUCAUAAAAUUGAUAAAACACUGCUUCAUGAAUUCUUUUUAUUCGUUUCGAGAGCAAUUGAUGAUUCAUUUCUUUCGAUGACCUCUUAUCAGAAGUUUUCUGAUUUCCAUGAUCGAGGUAUUGGCAUUUCGAAAUAUUUGAUUGACGAUCACAAACUAUAUUUUUCAAUGAUUCCAUGAGUGACAGAUUUUGAUGGAGCAAGCAU
ensembl:ncRNA K11D5.2 ncRNA